UAAGCCAUGCAUGUUUCCGCAAUCAGGGACGAAUAGCUCAGUAAAACUGCGAUGAUUUAGUCUGGCUGUGUAGAUAACUACGUGAAAAUGUAGCUAAGGGAAGGCAGAAUAAGACGCAGGACUAUCAGUUAGUUGGUAGUGUAAUGGACUACCAAGACAGUGACGGUUGACGGGAAAUUAGGGUUUUGUACCGGAGAGGGAGCCUGAGAGAUUGCUCCCACGUCCAAGGACGGCAGCAGGCGCGAAAAUUGCCCACUCUUUGCAGGAGGCAGUUAUGAGACGUGAAGAUGAGUAUCUUGUAAAGAGGGAUAGGAGAAUUGGAGGGCAAGUUUGGUGCCAGCAGCCGCGGUAAUACCGACUCCAAGAGUGUGUAUGAGAGAUGCUGCAGUUAAAAAGUCCGUAGUCAUAGAAGGGCAAAGAGAGAUGCGAGGUCUCACAGUGCGAUGAUGGAGGAGCCGAUGGGGAACAUAGUAUACCAGGGCGAGAGAUGAAAUGCCAAGACCCCUGGUGGACUGAGCGAGGCGAAGGCGAUGUUCUUGUAGGCAUUCGGU
rnacentral:rRNA from 1 species